GUCUGUGUCAGAGGAAGGUGUUGUAUAAGAUGUCUCAUCAAAUAUGGCUGUCUUAGCCAUUUUGUGUGCUGCAUCGCAAAAAUCCAUCUCGAUGUGUCUAUGUGAAAGUGAGUCUGGUGGAGGUCCAAAAAGUAGAUCCAUUAAGGGGGAGAGGUGCCAGGCUGAAGUCAAAUGGAAAGGAAAGACUGAGGCUAAAGAACUGAUUGUAGAUUUCAGGAGGGGAAGUUGAGAGCAUGAACCACUGAGCAUCGAGGGGGCGAUGGCGGAAAGGGUGAACAGCUUGCUUCAAGUUUCUUUGUGUCUACAUAUCCGAGGAUCUCACCUGGUCACUCAACACAUCCCACAUCAUCAGGAAAAGAUAACGACGCCUUCACUUCCUCAGAAGGUUAAAAAGAAGUCAACCUGCCACAACAGCUCCUCUGCAACUUCUACAGAGCCACAGUGGAGAGUAUCUUGACCAGCUGCAUCACCGUCUGGUACGGCAGCACCACAGCUGCUGAACGCAAGACCCUGCAGUGGAUAGUCAAAACUGUUCAACACGUCACCACAGCUGUCCUCCCACCAAUAGAGGACAUAUAUGACAAGCGAUGUGAGAGGAAAGCCACCAACAUAUCCUUGGACCCCUCACAUCCCAGCCACCCCUUGUUCCAACCUCUGCCAUCCAGAAAGAGGUACCGGAACAUCCGAGCCAGAACCACCAGGCACAAGAACAGUUUCUGUCCCCGAGCUGUCAAACUGGUCACAGUGGCAGCAUCGACCUGAGCUUAACAGCAACACUACAGUCUGUUAAUGAUCAGCCUGAUCACUCAGCACACUACACACUGAGCUCCAUUACCUCAGAGGACUGUAUGCUGUGCACUUCAUCUCUGACUAAGCCUUAUUUCUAGUAUAUUUAUAUAUUUAUACUGUAACUGUUUAUUUAAGACGUGUUACCUGAACAUUAUGCUGCUACUCUCUACCUGCACUGUACACUUUAUAUACAGAUCACGGCUCACAUCUCUUUUCGCACCACUAGUUCUUCUGCAUUUACUGUACUGUACUGCAAUUCACCAUGCACAUUUCUGUCUAUAUAUCUGAUACACUUGAAUAUCUGACUAUGCACAUACUGUCAAUUCGUCCAAUACACCUGGUAUAACCUUUGCCUAUGCACAUUUUGUCUACGUUCUAUACUUGUACUUACUGACUCUGCACAUUUUGUCUUGUCUUUUACUGUCUUUUGUCUUUGCACUGUUGCUAUUUAUCUUUUAUUACUGCACUGGAAAAGCAGCCCGAUAGUGUUUUGUUAUAUUGUACUACCCUGUAUUGUU